AAGAAGAAAAAGAAAGAAAGAAGGGAAGGGGACCCUUUAACAAUAAGUCAUCUUUACAGUAUCUAAUAAAUGUCCCCUGGGCUCUGGGAGCUGGAGAUGCCAUUUCCAUCCUCAGAAACUGAUCCCUGGUAAGGGAAACACAUCUGAGAUGUAAAACGGGAAGAGUGGAGGCGUGUCCACGGCUGUCACUGGGCCUAAAGAAGGUUUAAUGGAGACAAAAAAAAAAAAAAAAAAAAAAAUACAGAAAUCUCAAAGCCACCAGGAUCUCCGUUCCCAGGACAGUGGAUCUUAAACUUUAGUAAAUAAAACCGACUCAGUGGCGCUAAUGGUUUUGGGGAGCUGGUAGGACAAGGCUGCGAGUCUUUGAGGUGGAGCCACAGUUCUUUGCUUUGUUCAGCUUUCUGAGAGAGUCCAAGCUUCCGCAGCUCUUGGCAGCUCACAACUCGAAGGCUAGACAGACAGACAGCCGCGCUGCCUGCUUCCAUGAAGUGGGGCUCCAGUGGCCACUAGUGACCUUGUCAUCUCCAGAUCUUGCUCCAUCCUCGUUGCAUCAAGACAUGUUCCUCUUACACUGAACUCAAGACGCGCUGCUUCCCUUGGGAUGUGAGCAGUCCAACCCUCGCAUCAUUUCUUAGCAUGUGUUGCUUGCGGCUGCUAAGCCCCGCCCCACCGUUUCUAAGAGAAAGUAGCUGUAAGCUUCUCCCUAUCCCCAGAGACCACAGUUUAGGGAGUCUGCAGCCUGCUCCUCUACACUGCCUGAGACAAGAAGAGCAUCCUACGGUUCUGCUCCGCCAGCUUUGGCCUCCUCAUCCCUCUCGCAAGCAGGGUGGCUUUUGGACCAGUUUAUCAUCUUUUAGUCCAUGUUGGUUUUGAAGAGCAUUUUUUAAAAAAUGGUUUUUUUUUUUUCCUUAAGAUUGUGCAAAGUACCCACUGGGCCCAGGCCUGUCUUGCCUACACAGGGUGGACCAUGGCAGCUCUGUCUCUGCCCUCCCACUGCUCUUGAUUGAUAGCUAGAGAUGACUGUGGGUCGUCUUUCCUGUCUCCACAUGGAACCCAGAAACCCAGUAGUAAAAGCAUCAUGCACCCAGUGACGGGACCAUCAAUCCUCUUCCUUGGGCGCUGUCAGAGGCCAGGAGGCAGGAAGUACAGCAGGCCCACGGGAGGAGAGGCAAGCUCUGACAUAGGAUGACUGUCCCUUAAACAGGCUGUCCCUCCAUGAGGGGAGAAGAGGAAAGAGGACAGCCAGCGACAGACUAUAGAAGACCUGGAGGAAGCAUGGGACUACUGUGGAUCUGGAAUAUUCUCCAAAGGCCCGUGUAUUUAAAGACUUGGUUUCCAGCUUGGUGCUUUGAGGUAGAGUGGACACUGAAAGAGGCAGAGGGAAGUCUUUGAGGUACCAGAAACAAGUCCUUGAAGGGGAGGGUGGGACCCUAACCUUGCUCUUUUGUGUUUCCCUACCUGGCCAUUUAAUGAGCUGUUUUCUCUGCUCUGUGCACCCUGACAUUGCUAUAUGGGACUCCCACCAAAGACCUAAAAGUAAUGGGUCUAACUGACCACAGGCUAUAUAUAUCCCUAAACCGGAGUCCAAAAUAAACCUUUCUUCUUCAUAAGAUAAUCA
ensembl:lncRNA